CUGAUCAUGGGCAACGACGAUGGUGACAUUUUGGCAGCACUUGCGAUGUACAAACCAGAAACCAGGGACGACAACGACGAGAAACAACGACAACGAAGAUGGUGCGUGAGGUCAUGAUUGCCGUGUGGUGCAGGGAUGCUGUGAGAAACUCGAGAAGACCAUGAUAACUAUUGGCGAUGAACUUGGGCACACAUGUGAGGAGCUUCUCCAUUCCGUGAUACUGUUAAAGCAGGUCACGCCCUUCCGUCUCGUGACUGAACCCAAAGAAAGGCUGCCCAUCACGUUCAGGUACCUCGUUACAGGUGAAACAGACCAGAGGACAUCGCACGAAACUGAGACGGCACAGGAGGCUCUCUGGCCACUUAUCAAAGUUAGUUGCAAAUGUUCAUCUGAUGCAACCGCAGUUUGAGACACAUUCAAGGCAUAUUUCUUCAAUGAAGAUGCAGUGAGUGGUCGAGGCUUUGCUGCAAGACAAGUUACAAGCUGCAGCUACAAAAACAGGAGGAUAAUCCUCCUUAACAGAGCGGGAAGGCUCACUCUGCGACGGCGUAUUGACGGCAGCAUGGCGUAAACUCUGUUGAAGGUGCUGGAGGGGCGUUCAAAGUAGAAGACAGCCUAAAGUUGGUGUUCAUGCAGCUGUCGCAGAUAAAAGCCCAAAACAAAGAAAUGCUAGCUGUCCUGCACACAAUUGCUGCAGACGCAGCAUAGGUACCUGUUAGAGACCACUGGGAUCAAAUGGCUACUGAGAGAGAUGUUGCAGAAAUGGAGGAGCUCCUUCGGAAUCCAAGUG